GUCGGGGUUCCAGCAGGAGCCCAUGAGUGUGCGGUUUGCCGGCUGCAGAGGCCUGUGUGAACGGGUUCCCAGUGCGAGAUGAGGGCCAGCAGCAGGAGGGGGCGGUGGGGGAAAGCCCGCUUUCGCCCCUGUGGGCUGGGCCGCCUCGCCACGCACCCUGCCUCCACGGCCCCGAGUUCCCCACCCACAGAACAGGGUGCCAGCACACUAGGCUGCAUCAGAAGGUUUGUUCCAUUCCUCGGAGCUCUGGGGCUCUGCUGAGGGUCUCCGAACUGGGUGGGCAGGGCUCCAGGCAUCCACGCCCACUCCUGCCCUUCAGAUGUUUUGACUGAUUGAACGAACAUCCAGGUCAGAUUUUAUUUAAAGAAAAUGUAUUUUCAGUGGACAUUUGCAGAGGGCUGACCUGGAGUCAGGGAGGCCUGGGAAGUGCUGGGCCCUGGAGACUGUGGGGUCGGAGGCUCAAAGUCCCGGGUCCUGUGUAGCCUUGAGCAGAGCGGCUAGCCUUUCUGGGCCUCAUCUGUCCUUCUGGGAAGUGGAGUCACAGCUGCCCGACAGGAGCUGAGUGCAGGGCUGGGGGACUGUGGUGCUUGGAGGUGCAGAGGUUUCAGACUUCCCCUGCCCUGGGGCACCUGCUGCUUGGUCGAGCCAGCCUUCCACGGGUUGGAGAGCUUGCCUGUAGCACCUGGCAUCCCUUGUCUAGCACACGCCCAUCACCAAGGUGUGCCCUCACUGAGAGCAGGAGUGGCAGGGGCUCAGUACUGUCGGCCCCAAGCUGUGACUCUGGCGCUAACCCACAGGGGGCGAUCCAGCUCAGAGCAUCCUGCCGUGGGGGGCUUGCUCCCAGCAUCCUGGAGGAAACACUGAGCAGGUGGCACCUCCAGAACCUCCGUUAAGGGCGCCUCACCUCACCAUGGUGGUCCCAGGGUGGGGGAACCCAUGAGGACCUCAGUUGCCAGCCUUAUUGGGGCCCCAGGACACAGCAGACCCAUAGGGGCCCUCCGGGAGGAUGUCCUGGCUUCCCUGGACAUAAAGCUGUCCCAGGACCUACGCCUCAUUGAGGGGCCUCAAGGCCGAGGCCCUGGGCCUGGCCUCUCCUCCCCGCCACAGUGGAGCCCCUGCAGGCCUGACCAUCAGACCCCGGGGCCCACCAUCUCCCAGUUUUCAUUCUAGCAACAAGACAGCCCAGGAGUUUGGGGGUGGGGCAGGGAUGUGUCCCAGUUGGCUGUCCUCGCCAUGGGGCUCUUCUCCAUCCCUCGGGGCGGGAGGGGGCUGUUGGAGUGAGAGGGAAGGAGUCCUGCCCUCCCCUUUGCAAGGAGCCAGAGCUUCACUUGGGAGGCCUGCGAUGUUUAUGCAGUUCCAGGGCCACACUGGGCCAGGGCAGGGAACUGAGGACGGGAGUGGGAGGGGCUUUAGGAAAACCAGACCUACCACCUUCCCUCUGGCCCUCCCAAGAGAUGCAGCUCUCCCUAGUGAGAUGCUCUGGGAGUAGGGAGAGGGACAUGGAGGGGAGGAGAGCUGGCUUCAUGUGUGAGCUUCAUGAAAGCCAGACGGAGAUGGAGAGUCUUGGAGGUCCUCUCCGCCAGGAUUCCAGAUCUUUCCAGAGUGAUCUCAGGGCUUUGCAAAGCAGAAACCAGGCCCAGAUGGAAGCCCACAGGGAGACCUCACCCAGGGCUGUCGGCUCUUCAGAAAUGUCCCUUCCUGUGGCUGCAAGACUGUGGGUGAAUCCUGGGGUCCGGGCUUGGCUGCUGUGAGCCGCUGCCUCCCGGCUGAUAAACAUCGGCCCAGGGAGCUGAGACACCGAGGCCCUGGAGAAGACCAGUGCAGGUGAGAGGUGCUCUGCUAAAACCACAGCUUGGGGGUGGCGUCUCCACUCACACCCCGUACGGGAAAGCAGCUAUUUCUACAAUAACGGCUUCCACAUCGAUGGAAGGACCACCAGCAGGGCUGCAGCAGGUGCAGGGCUGGUUGGUGAAGAGGCUCACCCUCUCCUCCGUCCUCAGCCCCAACGCUCCCCAAACCUGUGCAUUAGAGCUGUGCUGGAGUUCUUCACGUCUCUACCAGGCCAGGUGGUCACUGCUAAACUCGCCUUGGAGAGAGGAAGCCUGGAUUAUCUGUCAGGUCCAGGGGGACGAUGCUCCAUUGGGCCCCCAGCUUCAUGGGGCUGCUACCUUGGUCUGGAGACCCUCCGUGUGUGAGGAGUUUGCACCCUUCAGAGUUUCAGCUGGAAAGUGGAUCUAUCGUCUUGGUGCUUCAGAGGAAACUUCUACAAUAUUCAGAUGGACGGGGCUCUCAGCCCCUCGACCACAAGGCUGUUCCAGCCUGAGCAGGUCAGUUCUGGGCAGUCUGGGAGCGGGAGGAGGGGUCCGCAGAACUCUUCCUGUCCCCGCUUUCUGCCUUCGCUUCUCAGGGGUACCCUGCCCUGGAAUGAAUGAGCUCCGCAAAUACUCAUCUCUGGGCAGCUGCCAAGUCUGGCCCCACUCCAGAGGACCGAGUGCUUGCAUCUGUCCCACUUCCCUUGGCAUGAAGGCCCCUGGCUGUCAGGGUGGGGCAGAGCUCCAGAGCCAGCCUUGGUGCUGGGACCCGGCCGAGCGAGGAGCUGCGGUGCCCAGGCCACAUGGCGUUCCCUGGUGAGGAGACGAUGUGAUGGCCACCAACACCCUUGGAACCCGUGUCGGCCCCAGUGCGAGUCAAGUGGACCCCUGCUGUCCUCCCGAGAAGUGUGACCAUUUAGUCUGAGGGGAGGGACAGUGGCAUCCUGAACCCCCACAGUGGCUGAGAAGGCUUCCAGCUGCCCAGCUGCCCUCUCUGCCCAGGAGGAGACGCUAUGCCAAGGCCCAGCUGUGGGAGAGUCUGCGUUUCCCGUGCCAUCCACUUGGAAAGGGCCUUCGUGCAGUCAGGGACUGGUGUGAUGGGGAGAAGGAGCCCAGUUUUCUUCUUGGGCGUUCCAGCCAAAUCAGGCUUGUUGAAGCCCUUCCCUGACUGCCAAGAGGGAGACCACUGCCUCCAGCCGGGAGUGCAGGAUGCCCAUUCUCACGUGGAUUCUCGUCCAUUGGAAUCUGGAGACAGGCCUGGACUUGGAGCCUUCUGCUCGUUGUCUGACCACAGGCAAGCCACUCCACCUCUCUGAGCUUUGGUCUUCUCGUUUGCACAAUAGGCAACUGGAAGUGAAAGUAUGGUGAGUAGUUUCUAGACACCGGGCACUGCGUCAGGGGCUCUCGCACUUGUGUUCGUCAUAAGCUCCGUGGCUGCCACAUAGGUGGUGACUAUGCCGGGGACCACUGUCUGGCCCCAGAGGUGACUUAUUCUCUUUAUUCUGCUGCGAAACCCUCAGCCCCUCAACUGCAGAGAUUGCUCCUUCCAUUCUUGGCGCUCAGCCCUGUGACUCCCACAUGGAAGGUUCUUGACUAGAUGUUGCAUGGAUGCAUACUAAGUGGGAGGGAGCUCACUUCUGGCUUUCACACAUCAAAUUAAAUUUUCAUGAACUCAUGAAUCAACAAGAGAAACUAAGCAGCAUUUUACUGAACACCUACUAUGUCUGAUGAUUUACAUGGGUUUUCUUAUUUAGUCUUCACAGUAAUCCUGUGAAGUACUCUCUCUUCCGUUUUGCAAGUUAGGAAAUUGUGGAAGCUCACGCCUUGUCAAGAUUAGUCAACAUGUAAGAGGGAGGAGCAGGAUUUGAAUUGGAGUCUGAUCCCUCGGACUGUGCUCUUUGCAUUCCACCAGGCUGCCAACAGGGAGACGCCUGCUAGACCGUGGUUGUUACAAAGCAGAAUCGUGGUCUAGCAGGGGGAAUAAUGCAUCCCAACCAGCGUCAGAAGGAGGCGCCAGCAGAAGGCCCGCUGCUCCCACGGGCUAAGGGGAUGAAUGACGGAGGCCAGGACCUUCCCAGGGCGUGCCUGCAGGCUUCUCCACCUAGACUGUCGUGGCCCAACCUCAGGCCAGCCCAGGCAACAGCGAGGCAAGGCCCGGCCUGGGUCUGCCGCCUCUCAGCCCAUUGGCCCUGUGGAUGCUGCGUUGCAAAACCACACUGUUUUGUUCUGACUUCCUCUUGGGUUCCCAGGAAGUUUAUUUACAGAAGUAAAAUUGCCUCGUAACGUAAAAAAAUAUUUUUUUUGCUGUGGUAAAAUAUACACAACACAAAAUUUACCAUUUUAACCACUUAAUGUAAAAAUGUACAACUGCAUGGUGUUAGUUCACAAUGUGCACAUUCCAGAUGUUGCAUAGCCAUCACCGCCAUUUGUCCCCAGAACUCCCUAACGGAAGCUCUGUACCUAUUAAACACUAAUUCCCCCCCUCCCUCUAGACUCUGCUGAUCUCUUGUCCGUGUUUUGUCUCUAUGAAUUUGCCUACUCUAGGUAUGUGUGUAAG
rnacentral:lncRNA from 1 species